UAACACCCUGUUCAUCUCAUAAAUCCAUCUGCUAUCCCACAUAAACCAAAAGAUCUUCAUGAACCAAAACAAUUAACAGAUCUACUCUAUGUAUUGAUGAUUCUUGUUCUGCUUUGGUAUUAUCUAGAUCCGUAAAUUCUCAUAUAGAAAAAGAUUUUUGCUGAUAAUGGAAGGUGCUUCUUAUACAGAAUGGAGAAGCAGUUCACAGGCGGGUAUGUGAGCAAUUGAACUUGCUCAGAUGUUGUUUGAUGAAAAAAGCCUGAGAAGGAUUUUUUAUUGCACUGUUGUAAUCGAUGGGUACUAAGCGUGGAAAGGUAGAGACUGCUCUUGAAGAUUUUGAUAAUAUGCCAGGAAGGAAUUCGAUCUCUCCGAAUUGGUGGUAUUAUCCAUGCUUUGUGUUUUAGUCCAAAUGUUCUAGUGGAUACAUGAACAUAUAAGGAAGAGCGGAGCUGAUUGUAAAUGUGUGUGUUUAGAGAAAUCAUUUGAAGUGCACUGCAUACCUUGUGGAUUGUAUUGUCCAACUGUGCGCAUGUGAGGGAAAGCUGCAAUUUAGCUCUUCGAGGCAAUGCAGAAACUUAUAAUGAUUAGCACCGGAUCGGACCACAACUGCAGCUUUGCUUAGUGCAUCUCCUCAGUAAGGUCUGAUAAGAAGUUAUCUUGAUGUCUCUUGCUUACUUUUGGGGCUUAAUGGCUUAUAUAGCAAUGGGAGAGAUGACGACAUGAAGACUUUUUGUUUGGCUAUUAGCAUACAAGCUAUUACAAGUCUAUGUUGUCGUCGGCCACCCACCGAAGCGGUCAUCUAGCCUUAACUAUACUUGGAUGAAAGAAAUAACAGUCUCCCGUAGCAAAGUUCCAUCUGUGGUUGGUCUGAUGCAGGCAUUUGCUUUUUUGUAAGCACUUUUGACUUGGAUUUCCAUCUUAUGUGCUUUUAACCAAGUUAUUAAUCCUUCUCAGAUCAGUUUCGUCUAAGUGACAUCCUAUCGGCAGAAUUUGGAGUAGCUCUUGCAGUGUGAGAGCACAAGAUUCUUCAGUAAACAAGACCUCGAGUAGGCACGCAAAAGCAAGGGCAUAUGUCCUCCAAAACUUCGUUGGAGGCUGCCCUUCCUGCUCUUUUAUGCUAACGUGUCUACAUGUUCUGAUCACCAUGAAGUAAAGCCUGCAUAGUGUGAAUAAAUCAGAAAGUUGUUGAAAUUUAAGUUGCAAGGGUGCAAGAUGAAUCUAAAGUGAUGACUGCAGAGAGUGGAACGUAACUUGGGAUGGCUCCUGAGUUCGAUACCUUCAUGGAUGCCGUCAUUCUCUUCCCGAUGGUCUCAUGAGGGUUGCUGAUGUCAUGGUUGAUGGUGAGAUCGUUGUUGCUGCUGGAUAAGGAAAUGUUGGGAAAGGGUUGUGCUUCUACAGGAUCUUCUCUCAAGCAAGCUGGUGCCAAGGUCCUAAUGACUGAAAUUGUGGUUGAAAUUCGUAGGACUUGUUGUAUCACUUCUCUUCAAGAAACCUUAAUAAUAGGGAGUUGAAUCCUUUUUUUUUAAUGAUUUUGGACUAGAUUUAUGAGCACAGUUCAACGUAAUGGAGCUGUCAUUUGGUACUAGAUGAUUCAGGUUUGUUUGGAAUUUUAAUUUUAAUUUGAAUUUUAGUAUUUUAA